rnacentral:snRNA from 1 species
GUACUCUGGCACCUCAGUUGCGGAUAAAUCUUUCGCCUUUUACUAAAGAUUUCCGUGUGGAGGUGAAACAAUGAGUCUAGUUUCAUUUUUGGGCUGCCUUGGUGGCU